rnacentral:rRNA from 1 species
GAGUUCAAGGAGUACUUGAACCGUUCAGGGGUAAACCUGAGAAACCCGAAAGGUCGAAUGGGGAAAUUCAUUCGCGUUUCGAUUGUCGGCGUUAGACGGUUGUGUGACGGAUGGAGUACGCUUUAUCCGCGCCUUCAGUUUAUCGAACCGGCUUCGAACGCGUGCACUUUUCUCUUAGUAGGACGUCGCGAUCCGUUGGGCGUCGAUCUAAGGCCGAUGGUGGAGCUCGAGUAGAUUUCGAUCUGCUCGAACCCUUCGUGUCCCGAUCGACUCGCUCGACGGUAUUAAAAUGGCGUGGGGCCGCUAUUCAGUUAGCGUUUGACCUACUGCAAGCACGUACGGUGUCGACGGCGAUCAGACCUGGUCGGAUCCCGUCCCCGUACGACUGUUGGCACGUAGUGUUCUCAAACAGACCUCUUUGAAACSCCAAUY